rfam:Triticum urartu cultivar G1812 contig1053343, whole genome shotgun sequence.
GUUAUACUCCCUCCGUUCGGAAUUAUUUGUCGCAGAAAUGGAUGUAUCUAGAUGUAUUUUAGUUCUAGAUACAUCCAUAUUCCAGACAAGUAAUUCCGAACGGAGGGAGUACACC